rnacentral:rRNA from 1 species
GAUGAACGCUAGCUACAGGCUUAACACAUGCAAGUCGAGGGGUAACGAGAGGGAAGCUUGCUUUCCUUGUCGACGACCGGCGCACGGGUGAGUAACGCGUAUCCAACCUGCGCCCAACUAGGGAAUAACCUUGCGAAAGUAAGACUAAUACCCUAUAAUUUCCUCAGAUGUCAUCUGACGAGGAAUAAAGAUUUAUCGGUGGUGGAUCGGGAUGCGUCUGAUUAGCUUGUUGGCGGGGUAACGGCCCACCAAGUCAACGAUCAGUAGGGGUUCUGAGAGGAAGGUCACCCACAUUGGAACUGAGACACGGUCCAAACUCCUACGGGAGGCAGCAGUGAGGAAUAUUGGUCAAUGGGCGGAAGCCUGAACCAGCCAAGUAGCGUGCAGGAUGACGGCCCUAUGGGUUGUAAACUGCUUUUAUACAGGAAUAAAGUUAGCCACGUGUGGUUAUUUGUAGGUACUGUAUGAAUAAGGACCGGCUAAUUCCGUGCCAGCCGCCGCGGUAA